rnacentral:tRNA from 1 species
UUUUAGCUCAGUGGUCGAGCGUUGGCUUUGGAAGCCACAGGUCGGCUGUUCAAAAGCACCCGGGCGCAG